rnacentral:lncRNA from 1 species
GGUUGCAACGUUGCAACAGCCGUAGAAGUAUUGCGUAGGUCAGUAGUGCAUAGCGGAUCAAGACUGCCUGGCCUAGGCACAAGUAUUUGAAGCGUAGUAUCAUCUUGACAUCCGUCUGGGCUGCAACCUGCACACCUCGAUCUCGGCUUUCACAACAUGGAUCCAUCCAGGGAAAUUCCAAGUGAAUCAUUUGAGCAGGCUGAGGGCUCAAAACUAGCCAGAAAAAUGAAGGAGUCUCCUUUUAUGGUGGCAGGUUUGGCUGGUCUGGUUGGCGUGGUUGGCUACAACCUGUACCACUUGCGGCAUAAGCCCAAGGACAUGAAGCUGUCGGUGUACCUGAUCCACAUGCGGGUGGGCGCUCAGGGCUUUGUUGUCAGUUGUUUGACGCUAGGCGUUUGCUACCAAAUGUACCAAGAACACAUGAAGCCGAAAAUCGCCCAAUGGAGGGAAGCCAGCAAGAGCAAAUGAACAUUCGCUUGUGUGCCAUUCUUCAAUAGAGCUUUAUGUCUGUUACGCAUCUAACUACUCGUAGAUUCUGUCAUGCUUUGUGAUUGUUGAAUUUGAGGCAACCUUAAUGUUGCUUAUUUGUAUUGUGCUUGUUUGCUGAUGAUAUUAAACCAGGAAGUAAGCUUACGUACGCUGACGAUUGCCAACCGCAAUAUGUCAUGAUUACAUUCAACUGCAUUUUGAGGUACCUCACUGGCUAUAUUUGUCAUUUUCAUCGCACGGGUGUCGGGUAGGUACAUGAUUUUACAAAUUAUCAAAUUUCAUGUCAUUCUGAUUGCGGGCCAUGGCACGGUUUUACGUGGAUUUAUAUUUAUUCAGUGCUUAGUGCAUGCUUCGUUGGCUUUUUGUUUCGUAACCGCAGGUUAUUUGAAAACCAGUCAAACAGUUUUCGUUAAAAUUGUGUGUUUCUAUUGCAAAACAACCGGAGCAGUCCGUCACCGGGCUAUACUUUCCUACCAGGUUCAUCGGGUUGUGCAAUCCGAACUACAAACGCUUCUGUGCUGCUGUGACCUCAGUGAUGCACCGGUCGCUCCAGGGAUUGAUUUUACUCUGAAAUGGCCGAUACAUGUCCAAAUGAUGAGACCAACGACGCUAUGAAAGCUCUGGUCCACGACUGAUGCAUACGUAAUACAUGUCCAACAUAAGCUA